UGCCCCGUGGCUGAGUUGGUUACAGCGUCCGACUGUUAUAGAUGUGGUGUUGAGACCCGAAUUACGUAAUCGGAAGGUCGUGAGUUCGAGCCUCACCGGGGCAG